rfam:Homo sapiens chromosome 3, GRCh38 reference primary assembly.
GCUGGGUGUGGUGGCUCACACCUGUAAUCCCAGCACUUUGGGAGGCCAAGAUGGGAGGAUUGCUUGAGGCCAGGAGUUUGAGGUCAGCCUGGUCAAUAUGGUGAGAUCCCAUCUCUA